GCGGGAUAGCUCAGCAGGUUAGAGCGUCGGAUUCAUAACCCGGAGGUCUCGAGUUCAAUUCUCGAU
rnacentral:tRNA from 2 species